rnacentral:rRNA from 1 species
UACGUAGGGGGCUAGCGUUGUCCGGAAUCAUUGGGCGUAAAGCGCGCGUAGGCGGUCAGGAAAGUCCGGUGUGAAAGUCAUAGGCUCAACCUAUGGAUGCCGCUGGAAACUGCCUGGCUUGAGUCCGGAAGGGGCGAGUGGAAUUCCUGGUGUAGCGGUGAAAUGCGCAGAUAUCAGGAGGAACACCAAUGGCGAAGGCAGCUCGCUGGAACGGUACUGACGCUGAGGCGCGAAAGCGUGGGGAGCGAACAGG